AAGUCGUAACAAGGUAACCGUAGGUGAACCUGCGGUUGGAUCAUUAAUAAAAUUAUUAACUGAAAUGACUCCCUUUUAAUCGGGGAGCUUUCUUUUAACACUUUGUGAACUUUAAUAUUGUAAUUUUGUCUUUUGGUGUGUUGGGUGGGAGGUUUGCAAUUUAUUUUGUUCUCCUCAUUUUUGGGUUUUUACAAAAAAACUCAAGAUCUAUCGUUGAUUUUUUCUUGGUACAUUCUGAGGAAUUUUCGAUUUACCACUUGACCGCCAGCUGACUACCCAACCUUUGACAUUUAUUGAAUUAUUUUUUAAGCCUUAAAAAAAAGAAAUUUUAAUAUUUUACAAAUUUUAAAACAACUUUUGACAACGGAUCUCUAGGCUCUCA
rnacentral:misc_RNA from 1 species